AUACUCCCAAGAGACCGAUAGUGGACCAGUACUGUGAAGGAAAGGUGAAAAGAACCCCGAGCAGGGGAGUGAAAUAGUUCCUGAAACCAUACGCCUACAAGCGGUCGGAGCAUCUUACGAUGUGACGGCGUGCCUUUUGCAUAAUGAUCCUACGAGUUACCGUCACUGGCGAGGUUGAGUGUCACGAGACACGUAGCCGCAGUGAAAGCGAGCCUGAAUAGGGCGCAUAGUCAGUGGGGGUAGACGCGAAACCAAGUGAUCUACACUUGGCCAGGAUGAAGUCCCGGUAACACGGGAUGGAGGUCCGCACCAAUAAGCGUUGAAAAGCUUCUGGAUGAGCCGAGUGUAGGAGUGAAAGGCCAAUCAAACUUGGAGAUAGCUCGUACUCCCCGAAAGGCAUUUAGGUGCCGCGUCGGAUGGUCACCGUGAGAGGUAGAGCGACCGAUAGGACAAGAGGGCUUCACCGCCUAUCGAGUCCUGACGAACUCCGAAUGCUCACGGUCUGCAGUCCGGCAGUAAGGGGGCGGGUGCUAAGGUCCGUCCCCGAGAGGAGAAGAAUCCAGACCGCCGUCUAAGGUCCCGGAGUUCUGCCUGAGUUAGUCUAACGAAGUCUGGUCCCUAUGACAGCUAGGAUGUUGGCUUGGAAGCAGCCAUUCAUUCAAAGAGUGCGUAACAGCUCACUAGUCGAGGGUCCGGGCAUGGAUAAUAAUCGGGUAUAAGGCAGACACCGAAGGCGCGGGAUAGCAUUUAAGAAAGUAUCGGUAGGGGAGCAUACUCACAGCGUCGAAUGGUGUACGUAAGUUAUCCUGGAGCGGUGAGUAAAGCAAAUGUAGGAAUAAGUAACGAUAAGGAGGGUUAGAUUCCCUCCCGCUGUAAGACCAAGGUUUCCCGGGCAAUGCCAAUCAGCCCGGGGUCAGUCGGGUCCUAAGUCUAAGCCGAACGGCGAUGGCGAUGGCAGAGACGGUUAAUAUUCCGUCACUGCCGCAUGGGGCGACGUGGAGACGGAGCAGUGAAACCACCGCGGGGCGACGGAAGUCCCCGUUGAAGAGUGUAGGUGUUGAGGAUGGCAGGCAAAUCCACCGUCCGAGCUGAACUUGAUAGUAUGGAGUCUUCUUCGGAAGAAUCCAAUAGUGUGGGUAAUCAUACUCCCGAGAAAAUCCGCUAAGCUUAACCCAUGCGGCACCCGUACCGCAAACGGACACACGUGGUCGGGUAGAACAUACUAAGGCGUUGAGAGAUUCAUGGUUAAGGAACUAGGCAAAUUGACCCUGUAACUUCGGGAUAAAGGGUCCUCGUGAUGAGCGAGGCGCAGAGAAUAGGUCCAGGCAACUGUUUAACAAAAACACAGGGCUGUGCAAACUCGAAAGAUGACGUAUACAGCCUGACACCUGCCCGGUGCCGGAAGGUUAAGAGGAGAUGUCACACUUAUGUGGAAGCAUUGAAUUGAAGCCCCGGUAAACGGCGGCCGUAACUAUAACGGUCCUAAGGUAGCGAAAUUCCUUGUCGGGUAAGUUC
rnacentral:rRNA from 1 species